UUCGCCCUUAGAGUUCGUUCCUGGCUCAGGAUGAACGCUGGCGGCGUGCUUAACACAUGCAAGUCAAACCAAGCACUUAUGAUUGAGAUUUCGGUUGAUUGACAAAGUGACUUAGUGGGCGGACGGUGUGAGUAACGCGUGGGUAACCUGCCUCGUACAGGGGGAUAACAGUUAGAAAUGACUGCUAAUACCGCAUAACCCGCUAGGGGCGCAUGGCCCGGACGGAAAAGAUUUAUCGGUACUAGAUGGACCCGCGUCUGAUUACCUAGUUGGUGAGGUAACGGCCCACCGAGGCGACGAUCAGGAGCCGGCCUGAGAGGGUGACCGGCCACAUUGGGACUGAGACACGGCCCAAACUCCUACUGGAGGCACCGGCGGGGAAGCAUUGCACAAUGAGGGAAACCCUGAGGCAGCACCUCCGCAUGAGUGAAGAAGUAUUUGGGCUUCUAAACCUCUAUCAUCAAGGAACAUGAUGACGGUACCGGACUAAAGAGCCCCCGGGUACUACGUUCCAGCAGCCGCGGUAAUUCGUAGGUGCCAAGCGUUGUCCGGAAUUACUGGGGGUAAAGGGGGGGUGGGGGGGAAGCAAGUUUGGGGGUGAAAUCCAUGGGCUCAACCCCAGAACUGCUUUGAAAACUGUAUCCCUGAGUAUCGGAGAGGCAAGCGGAAUUCCUAGUGUAGCGGUGAAAUGCGUAGAUAUUAGGAGGAACACCAGUGGCGAAGGCGGCUUGCUGGUGGACAACUGGCGUUGAGGCGCGAAAGCGUGGGGAGCAAACAGGAUUAGAUACCCUGGUAGUCCACGCUGUAAACGAUGAAUACUAGGUGUGGGAGGACUGACCCCUUCCGUGCCGCAGUUAACACAAUAAGUAUUCCACCUGGGGAGUACGACCGCAAGGUUGAAACUCAAAGGAAUUGACGGGGGCCCGCACAAGCAGUGGAUUAUGUGGUUUAAUUCGACGCAACGCGAAGAACCUUACCAGGAUUUGACAUCCAACUAACGAAGCAGAGAUGCAUUAGGUGCCCUUCGGGGAAAGUUGAGACAGGUGGUGCAUGGUUGUCGUCAGCUCGUGUCGUGAGAUGUUGGGUUAAGUCCCGCAACGAGCGCAACCCCUAUUGUUAGUUACUACGCAAGAGCACUCUAGCGAGACUGCCGUUGACAAAACGGAGGAAGGCGGGGUCGACGUCAAAUCAUCAUGCCCCUUAUGUCAUGGGCUACACACGUAAUACAAUGGCCGUCCACAAAGGGAAGCGAAACCGCGAGGUGGAGCAAACCCCCAAAACCGGUCUCAGUUCGGAUUGCAGGCUGCAACUCGCCUGCAUGAAGCUGGAAUUGCUAGUAAUCGCGGAUCAGCAUGCCGCGAUGAACAAAAACCCGGCCCUUGCACACACCGCCCGUCA
rnacentral:rRNA from 1 species